AUUGACCUAGCGGCGGACGGGUGAGUAAUACUUAGGAAUCUGCCUAUUAAUGGGGGACAACAUCUCGAAAGGGAUGCUAAUACCGCAUACGCCCUACGGGGGAAAGCAGGGGAUCACUUGUGACCUUGCGUUAAUAGAUGAGCCUAAGUCGGAUUAGCUAGUUGGUGGGGUAAAGGCCUACCAAGGCGACGAUCUGUAGCGGGUCUGAGAGGAUGAUCCGCCACACUGGGACUGAGACACGGCCCAGACUCCUACGGGAGGCAGCAGUGGGGAAUAUUGGACAAUGGGGGGAACCCUGAUCCAGCCAUGCCGCGUGUGUGAAGAAGGCCUUAUGGUUGUAAAGCACUUUAAGCGAGGAGGAGGCUCCUGUAGUUAAUACCUACAGUGAGUGGACGUUACUCGCAGAAUAAGCACCGGCUAACUCUGUGCCAGCAGCCGCGGUAAUACAGAGGGUGCGAGCGUUAAUCGGAUUUACUGGGCGUAAAGCGUGCGUAGGCGGCUGAUUAAGUCGGAUGUGAAAUCCCUGAGCUUAACUUAGGA
rnacentral:rRNA from 1 species